UACGGAGGGGGCUAGCGUUGUUCGGAAUUACUGGGCGUAAAGCGCGCGUAGGCGGCUUUGUAAGUUAGAGGUGAAAGCCCGGGGCUCAACUCCGGAACUGCCUUUAAGACUGCAUCGCUUGAAUCCAGGAGAGGUGAGUGGAAUUCCGAGUGUAGAGGUGAAAUUCGUAGAUAUUCGGAAGAACACCAGUGGCGAAGGCGGCUCACUGGCCUGGUAUUGACGCUGAGGUGCGAAAGCGUGGGGAGCAAACAGG
rnacentral:rRNA from 1 species